CGCUGCCGGAUCCGCGGUCCCCGCAGCCCCUCCGCUGUGACGCUGUCCCCGGGCCCAAACCGGGUGUCCCCGGAGGUCUGAGACUCCCGCCAGCUCAGACGCGCAGCCGGCUUCACAGGAGCCUCCCGGGCAGCGCAGCCCGCCCGCCUUUCCGUCAGGCUUUUACGCCCGGCGGCCCCUCAGGGAUGGUGUGAAGAGGGUGGGCGUUCCGGCCCGGAGGCCCCUGCCGCGGCCCGGAAACGUCUCUUCCGGGGCGGCCCAGGCGGAGGUGGUCGCCGUGAUGCCCGCGGGGCUGGGUGGCUGACCACCCACCGCGGGUGAAGCGGGCCCGGGCCCCGAAUCUCGGCAGCCGCUGCUCGAGCGGCCUGCGCCAUGGCCACCUCCGCCGCCUCCUCGGAGCAUUUCGAGAAGCUGCACGAGAUCUUCCGCGGCCUCCAUGAAGACCUCCGGGGGGUGCCGGAGCGGCUCCUGGGGACUGGAGGCACAGAAGAGAAGAAGAAAUUGAUCAGAGAUUUUGAUGAAAAGCAACAGGAAGCAAAUGAAACGCUGGCAGAGAUGGAAGAGGAACUACGUUACGCACCCCUCUCUUUUCGUAACCCUAUGAUGUCUAAGCUUCGAAACUACCGGAAGGAUCUUGCCAAACUGCACCGGGAAGUGAGAAGCACGCCUUUGACAGCCACACCUGGGGGCCGAGGAGACAUGAAAUAUGGCACCUACACUGUAGAGAAUGAGCACAUGAAUCAACUACAGUCUCAGAGGGUAUUGCUUUUGCAAGGCACUGACAGCCUGAACCGGGCCACCCAGAGUAUUGAGCGUUCUCAUCGGAUUGCCGCAGAAACUGAUCAGAUUGGCUCAGAAAUUAUAGAAGAGCUGGGGGAGCAACGGGAGCAGUUGGAACGUACCAAAAAUAGACUGGUAAACACAAAUGAAAACUUGAGCAAAAGUAGAAAGAUUCUCCGGUCAAUGUCCAGAAAAGUGACAACCAACAAGCUGCUACUUUCCAUUGUCAUCUUACUCGAGAUAGCCAUCCUGGGAGGCCUGGUUUAUUACAAAUUCUUUCGCAAGCAUUGAACUUCCUGCGUGGAAGUGUUUGUGGACCAGAACUUUGACCCUGAGGGUGAAUAGUGUUACAGAUGUGGAAUAAGUGUAUUGCUGCUGUGAGCUAACGGUUCAGGAUGCACUGUGUAGCCAGACUGUGGGAAGAGGGAGGGAAGAUGGAAAACCAGCUAAUGUGAAGAAACAGCAACAAGACCAGUGUGAUAACCAAGAAGGCACUGUAGGACAGAAUGAACCUGAAACUGCAAGGAAGCUCGUAUGACAAACAGAUUUGGAAACAACUUGAAAGGGCUCUGCUUUUUGACACACAGUGGGGCCAACCAAAGCUCUGCAUAGACUGACAGCCUCCGUGCUUCUCUCCCAGUGCUGGUAAUAAAAAUACACCGAAUACUAUUAGGAUCUUUUAGGCCCAGGUGUCACCUUUGGCCCUGAUAAACAUCUCCAGGCUCCACUGGAGUGAAACGAGAACACAAGUGCAUCAACAGAAUGAUGCAACCAUCUGGUAGGGAAGAAAUCAAAACAGUCCUACCUGACCUUAGCAGUGUGUGCAGACAGCACUUCUAUUUAGGGUCCUGAUCACUAGUGAAUCCCGCAAGAAGCCAGGGACAGGAAAGAAGGAAACGGAGGAAAAGUAUCUGCCUCCACACACCACACUAUGCUAGCUACUUCACAGAUGGCUGCUAAUCUUCACACCCUCAUGGGUUUCACAUACUUCAGACGGAGAAAUUCAGCAGUUAAAUAGCUCCAACUGGUUAGAGCCUGAGUCACCCUUUGCUUGGAAACUCAUAGAAGACACUGUUACAAGUGAGCAGGCAUUUGUCAUUAUCUUAAAGGUAACUCCACUACCCCCCUACUGCUCCAAAGGCUCCCGGUAAGUCGAGAGGGAUGGGCUGACAUGGGAUAAUUGACGGAGCCCCAGGUAGUCCACGGGCAGAAUAGUGUCAGGGCCCAUCAGUGUGCAGUUUUUUUGUUUGUUGUGUUGUUUUGUGUGUGUGUGUGUGAGUGUGUGUGUGUGUGUGUUUCAGACUGUGCCUGAAAUAGAAUAGAGUGUUUAUGACUUGUCAGGAAUAACAAGUCAGUGAAACCUGGAGAAAAACAAAGAUGCUGAGAUCUCACUUGGUGCUGAGAGACUAAUAAUCCUAAUGGCUUUUAAAAUUACAGACUCAAACACUCUGUAAGACAGAUCUAGCUCCAUGCAAAGGGAAUUCUAAUCUUUUAAAGGACUGCUACUGCUAAUUCUUAGAACUCCAAAGCUGUGCCUGGAAAACCAGUUAAUUGAAAACCAAGCUG